rnacentral:rRNA from 1 species
CAAGUCGAGGGGCAGCAUGGUCUUAGCUUGCUAAGGCCGAUGGCGACCGGCGCACGGGUGAGUAACACGUGUGCAACCAACCCCGUACCGGGAGAUAACCCGCGGAAACGUGGACUAACAUCCCAUGAUACUCGAGAGCCGCAUGGCUCUAGAUUUAAAAUUCCGGUGGUACGGGACGGGCACGCGCGACAUUAGGUAGUUGGCGGGGUAAGGGCCCACCAAGCCGACGAUGUCUAGGGGUUCUGAGAGGAAGGUCCCCACACUGGAACUGAGACACGGUCCAGACUCC